GUUGUGGAUGAACGUACGAAGCUUCUAGUUCAGGAAGCAACGCCGAUAGUUGUGGUUCAGGCCUAGAUCAUGUUGGUCCAUAAGAGAACUAUUCGUCAGAAUGACAAACCUCUCAUCCUCUAUGGUCCGAUGUUAAUCUGGGUUCAUGAGAGGAUAGCGAAUCUGAACUACAACUACAACUACAAUGAUACAGAGGCUUUGUGGAUGCUUUGAAUGAAAAGAGCACCUUUCAUCGGGCUUGUGCAGAUGUUCAGGAGCAGGGGGGCACUAGAAGAUAGCAUGCGCACCACUGUGGAAGAGCAAGUAGCCAUGUUCCUCCAUGUUGUUGGUCAUAACCAGAUGUUCAGAGUUGUACACAACACCUUCAGGAGAUCAACGGAGACCAUCUCCAGGUACUUCAAGCAAGUGAUGUAUGUUGUUGGGGAGCUCAGAGGAGAGAUGAUCGGGUCACCAACUGGCCUGACUCCUACCAAGAUUCGCAUUAGCUCAGAGGAGAGAUGA
rnacentral:rRNA from 1 species